ensembl:lncRNA
AAAGACCCGAGCUAACAUGGGGUUAGCUCGUUAAACUACAAUAAAGCCUCAUGCAGUUUGCAUCAAGCUUUCGCCUCCAUUCUGUGUUUGGGGUGGCCGCCGUCCUGGGCUAAGAUUCUGGAAGCCUCAGCUUUCUGAGGGUCUUACAUUUGGGGGCUCGUCCGGGAUUUGCGACCACCCCUCACCUGAGUGGAGUCGAUCUUGGAGUUUAUAAUGUCAGACAGACUGCCAGAUCCGGACAGUGACCCAAAGUCUCCAAAGAAGAUUACGAGGCACCUCAGUUCCUGCACCUGGACCAGUGAGCGAGAUGCUCAGAUGUGAAACCUGCCGCCUGCCAGAACCUGGCCGAGAAUGUGGACAAAGCUGCUGGACACUGGAAAAUUGAUUGUACCCCUUUGCCUAGACAAAACAAGGUCAGUCUUUUCCAUGUCCCUCUUCCACAGAGAGGAAAAAAACUCUCACAGUAUAGGCCUGGUGAAGAUUGCUGGUCUUUGAGACACCUGCCUCCAGCGGUAAUGGAGAAACUUGGGUAUGGACUGGCUUCUAACUGGCUUCUGUCACUUUUUAGUAGAUUCGGAUAAAGUAUACCCUUCUCAGAUCUCUGAAAUAUUACUGGUUGUCAGCUUGACAGCAUCAGGCAGUCAGAUCCACUAUAGACUAGUAAAUGUGUUAGCUGAUAAAAUAAUGACUAUCUACUGUUCAGGCACAAGCUCAAGGUUUUUAAGUUUAUUUUGGUUGUCAUCUAAGUACAAACUUAAAGGGCUUUUCAUCAGGCCAAAGUCACCUCUGUCCAAUCCAUACCUGGCUCUCUGGACAGAAGAAAAAUGUACAUGCUUAUAGCCCAAAUCUGUAGUUUUUUCUAGGACCCAAAGUUAUAAAUAUGUUCCUGCUGUUUGAACAGAUAUCCAGAUAUCUGCUUUUUCUGCACUGUGGGCUUCAGUAAAUAAGUUUUAACCUCUGUUCCUAGUUUAAACAUGUCUUAAACAGGUUUCUGCUUCUGGCAGACAUCUGAGUAUCAGUUGCUGACUACAGGCUGUUCUAAGUAGACUGCGAGCCCUGGACUUGCUGUGGAUGUGAACCAGUCCAGCUGAUAUGGACACCCCCUGUCUCUGCAACAGUGUCUGCUAACCAGAAGCCCCUGAUGGAUUCCCCAUUGCCUAAAUUCCUUUUUGCUUUUGACUAGCAUUUCAACCUUCUGGGGUCCCUAACUUCGUCCCAAAGUCAGCAGGAAGCAGUUUGAAAAAGAAUUUCGGCGCCCAUUUUCCCUGGUUAAAAUGCUAAGUCAAAAGAAUUCCCUUGCAUGGGGAUGCCAGUAUCUAUCACUCCCUGAUGGGGAUGCUAGAGAGACAGCAAUUCCAUGAUUGGAAUUUAUAAAAAAGAAAAUGGGGGAAUGAAGGAACCAGCUUCCUUUUGGCAGCCAUAACUGCCGAACACGUGCUUGCCAUAAACCUACCUUGGUCACUUAGAGGUCAGAUGCCUGUCUCGUGACAAGGAACCAAUCAGAAGUUAGCUGGUGGCGCUAUGCUUUACGACCCUGGGUGUGCUUUACGGACAAGCGCACGACAAUGACGUAAGAGCAUAGCAACCACCCUGGGAGGGCCUAUGGGCCAUAACAACCAGUUGACCAAUCAACACAGGGCAAGCCCUCCAAGCCUGGAAGCACACCAAUCGUGAGCCUGUGCGUAAGCCUGUGCGUACCCCUAGACACUCCCCUUACGCUGCCCUAUAAGAUCUUUUGGGAGCCCGUAGGAGCCGUC